rnacentral:rRNA from 1 species
AUUGAACGCUGGCGGAAUGCUUUACACAUGCAAGUCGAACGGCAGCACGGACUUCGGUCUGGUGGCGAGUGGCGAACGGGUGAGUAAUGUAUCGGAACGUGCCCAGUCGUGGGGGAUAACGUAGUGAAAAUUACGCUAAUACCGCAUACGAUCUAUGGAUGAAAUCGGGGGAUCGCAAGACCUCGCGCGAUUGGAGCGGCCGAUAUCAGAUUAGGUAGUUGGUGGGGUAAAGGCCCACCAAGCCAACGAUCUGUAGCUGGUCUGAGAGGACGGCCAGCCACACUGGAACUGAGACACGGUCCAGACUCCUACGGGAGGCAGAAGUGGGGAAUUUUGGACAAUGGGCGAAAGCCUGAUCCAGCCAUUCCGCGUGCAGGAUGAAGGCCCUCGGGUUGUAAACUGCUUUUGUACAGAACGAAAAGGUUUCUACUAAUACUAGGAGCUCAUGACGGUACUGUAAGAAUAAGCACCGGCUAACUACGUGCCAGCCGCCGCAGUAA